rnacentral:tRNA from 2 species
CGGGGUGUGGCUCAGCUUGGCUAGAGCGCUUGAUUUGGGAUCAAGAGGUCGCAGGUUCGAAUCCUGUCACCCCGACCA